rnacentral:rRNA from 1 species
UACGAAGGGGGCUAGCGUUGCUCGGAAUCACUGGGUGUAAAGCGCACGUAGGCGGGUUCUUAAGUCAGGGGUGAAAUCCUGGAGCUCAACUCCAGAACUGCCUUUGAUACUGGGAAUCUCGAGUCCGGGAGAGGUGAGUGGAACUGCGAGUGUAGAGGUGAAAUUCGUAGAUAUUCGCAAGAACACCAGUGGCGAAGGCGGCUCACUGGCCCGGUACUGACGCUGAGGUGCGAAAGCGCGGGGAGCAAACAGG